GGGAGGCCCACGCCCUUUCAUAACAGGUAUUGUUGAAUCUGGCAUCAAAGGGCUCCCACAGAAAGGAGCUGCUACUUCUUUCUGGAAGCUUACAGGGUCGGAAUUGUCCACAGUGGUGAUGACAGCAACCAGACGUCUGGAUAGCCAAGUGGAGAUUGAAAAACUGGAAAACUGGAAGUUCCGAUGCAGGAAGGUUUAUUAUGUCCACAGUGAAAAGUGCACAGUGUUCCAAAAUCCAAAAAUAAUUCAUUAGAAAAAGAAAAAUGAAAAUAAAGGGAAAACAAAACAAAAUAAACUGAUCAACUUGAUACAAACUCAUAUCAAAAAAUGCCUUCAACCAUGGCCUUACAAACACAUCUGCACGCCAAGCCAGCUUCCCCCUGACAAACAAACAUCCCGAGUUCUCCCUUUUACAAACCCCUUAACCUAUUGGAUUCAACCAACCACAGCUGGUCCCCCUCCACCUGCUCAAGCAUGGGAGAUGGAACACCUCCACUUGUAGUACAACCCCAAGACUACAUAACCCACGAACCCCCCGGGCUCGGAUCCUUUGACCUGCAAGAGGCUGCUGCCGUGCUGGAACAAGCAGAGUCUCAAAAAGGUCCGACUGGUGUUUGCCACUGCAGCCAUGUGG